UCGGGAAUUUUGGACAAUGGGCGAAAGCCUGAUCCAGCCAUGCCGCGUGAGUGACGAAGGCCUUAGGGUUGUAAAACUCUUUCGUCGGGGACGAUAAUGACGGUACCCGAAGAAGAAGCUCCGGCUAACUUCGUGCCAGCAGCCGCGGUAAUACGAAGGGAGCUAGCGUUGUUCGGAAUCACUGGGCGUAAAGCGCACGUAGGCGGAUAGUUAAGUCAGGGGUGAAAUCCUGGGGCUCAACCCCAGAACUGCCUUUGAUACUGGCUGUCUCGAGGUCGAGAGAGGUUGGUGGAAUUCCUAGUGUAGAGGUGAAAUUCGUAGAUAUUAGGAAGAACACCAGUGGCGAAGGCGACCACCUGGACUGAUACUGACACUGAGGUGCGAAAGCGUGGGGAGCAAACAGGAUUAGAUACCCUUGUAGUCCCUGAGCGGGCUGGCAAGGCGCAU
rnacentral:rRNA from 1 species